rnacentral:rRNA from 1 species
AGUGAACGCUGGCGGUAGGCCUAACACAUGCAAGUCGAACGGCAGCACAGUAAGAGCUUGCUCUUACGGGUGGCGAGUGGCGGACGGGUGAGGAAUACAUCGGAAUCUACUUUUUCGUGGGGGAUAACGUAGGGAAACUUACGCUAAUACCGCAUACGACCUACGGGUGAAGGCAGGGGAUCUUCGGACCUUGCGCGAUUGAAUGAGCCGAUGUCGGAUUAGCUAGUUGGCGGGGUAAAGGCCCACCAAGGCGACGAUCCGUAGCUGGCCUGAGAGGAUGAUCAGCCACACUGGAACUGAGACACGGUCCAGACUCCUACGGGAGGCAGCAGUGGGGAAUAUUGGACAAUGGGCGCAAGCCUGAUCCAGCCAUACCGCGUGGGUGAAGAAGGCCUUCGGGUUGUAAAGCCCUUUUGUUGGGAAAGAAAAGCAGCAGGUUAAUACCCCGCUGUUCUGACGGUACCCAAAGAAUAAGCACCGGCUAACUUCGUG